rnacentral:lncRNA from 10 species
AUUAAAAUUACAUAUAUAUAUUCUUACUUUUAUUUUUUGAUACUGGCUUUCACUCUGUCACCCAGGCUGGAGUGCAGUGGCACAAUCUCUGCUCACUUCAACCUUCACUUACCAGGCUCAAGCAAUUCUGCCUCAGACUCCCGAGUAGCUGGGAUUACAGGUAUGUACCACCACACCCGGCUAAUUUUUGUGUUUUUUGUAGAGAUGGGGUUUCACCCUAAUUCCCAGGCUGGUCUCAAACUCCUGAGCUCAAAGCGAUCCACCCGCCUUGGCCUCCCAAAGUGCUAGAAUUACAGGUUUGAGCCACCUUGCCCAUUCUAGUUUAAACUUUUGAAUGGUUUAUAUCUCCUGAUUGGACUCCUACAAAUACAGAAUUGAUGCUAGGAAGGGUACCAGGAGAUAGACCCACACAGAUGGGAUUUGGGCACAGGUUUGGUUAUCCAAGGAGCAGAGCUGAGCUCCUUGCCAAUGGGACACGGGAUGCUGGUGAUUUCCAGGAACUGACCUCACAAUGACUCAAGCUACCACUUAUUGUUGAUUGUGAUGAAAUGCUAGCUGAAGCAUAUGCCCUGCAAGCUUAGGGGUGCUACACUUGACCACGGCGGCAGUAAAGAUGACUCUGAAGAAUGGCAUGGGAUGGAUCCUUUUGAAUGCACUCAAGCAGGGGUCUCCAACCACAGGUCCAUAGAGCCGGAGUUGAACAGUCUUGAUGCAGGAAAACAAGCUCAGAGAUCCCACUGAUUCUAC